rnacentral:rRNA from 1 species
GACGAACGCUGGCGGCGUGCUUAACACAUGCAAGUCGAGCGGUAAGGCCCUUCGGGGUACACGAGCGGCGAACGGGUGAGUAACACGUGGGUGACCUGCCCUUAGCUCUGGGAUAAGCCUGGGAAACUGGGUCUAAUACCGGAUAUGACCUCAUGACGCAUGUUGUGGGGUGGAAAGCCUUGUGCGGCUAGGGAUGGGCCCGCGGCCUAUCAGCUUGUUGGUGGGGUGAUGGCCACCAAGGCGACGACGGGUAGCCGGCCUGAGAGGGCGACCGGCCACACUGGGACUGAGACACGGCCCAGACUCCUACGGGAGGCAGCAGUGGGGGAAUCUUGCGCAAUGGGCGAAAGCCUGACGCAGCGACGCCGCGUGAGGGAUGACGGCCUCGG